GCAAGUCGAACGGAAAGGCCCCUUCGGGGGUGCUCGAGUGGCGAACGGGUGAGUAACACGUGGGUGAUCUGCCCUGCACUUCGGGAUAAGCUUGGGAAACUGGGUCUAAUACCGGAUAGGACCAUGGCCUGCAUGGGUUGUGGUGGAAAGUUUUUAACGGUGUGGGAUGGGCCCGCGGCCUAUCAGCUUGUUGGUGGGGUGAUGGCCUACCAAGGCGACGACGGGUAGCCGGCCUGAGAGGGUGUCCGGCCACACUGGGACUGAGAUACGGCCCAGACUCCUACGGGAGGCAGCAGUGGGGAAUAUUGCACAAUGGGCGCAAGCCUGAUGCAGCGACGCCGCGUGGGGGAUGACGGCCUUCGGGUUGUAAACCUCUUUCACCAUCGACGAAGGCCCGGUUUCGGCUGGGUUGACGGUAGGUGGAGAAGAAGCACCGGCCAACUACGUGCCAGCAGCCGCGGUAAUACGUAGGGUGCGAGCGUUGUCCGGAAUUACUGGGCGUAAAGAGCUCGUAGGUGGUUUGUCGCGUUGUUCGUGAAAUUCCCUGGCUUAACUGGGGGCGUGCGGGCGAUACGGGCAGACUGGAGUACUGCAGGGGAGACUGGAAUUCCUGGUGUAGCGGUGGAAUGC
rnacentral:rRNA from 1 species